rnacentral:rRNA from 1 species
AGAACGAACGCUGGCGGCAUGCCUAACACAUGCAAGUCGAACGAGACCUUCGGGUCUAGUGGCGCACGGGUGCGUAACGCGUGGGAAUCUGCCCUUGGGUUCGGAAUAACAGCGAGAAAUUGCUGCUAAUACCGGAUGAUGACGUAAGUCCAAAGAUUUAUCGCCCAAGGAUGAGCCCGCGUAGGAUUAGCUUGUUGGUGAGGUAAGAGCUCACCAAGGCGACGAUCCUUAGCUGGUCUGAGAGGAUGAUCAGCCACACUGGGACUGAGACACGGCCCAGACUCCUACGGGAGGCAGCAGUGGGGAAUAUUGGACAAUGGGCGAAAGCCUGAUCCAGCAAUGCCGCGUGAGUGAUGAAGGCCUUAGGGUUGUAAAGCUCUUUUACCCGGAUGAUAAUGACAGUACCGGAGAACAAGCUCCGGCUAACUCCGUACCAGCAGCCGC